GGGUACGUAGCUUAGUGGUAGAAUGUGUGUCUAAAAUGCAUAAGAUCCUAGGUUCAAUUCCUAGCAUGGCCA
rnacentral:tRNA from 1 species